CUGUCGGUGACCAGUGUAUAUUAUUUGGCCUAAUAAAUGAGCGCUUCCAGGUUCAUUAAGUGUGUAACUGUCGGUGAUGGUGCCGUCGGCAAAACCUGCAUGUUAAUUUCCUAUACCAGCAACAGUUUUCCGACGGACUAUGUGCCAACUGUGUUUGACAAUUUCAGUGCAAAUGUAGUUGUCCAUGGCAACACCGUAAACUUGGGACUGUGGGAUACAGCUGGUCAGGAGGAUUACAAUAGACUAAGACCAUUGAGUUACAGAGGCGCCGAUGUCUUUAUUCUCGCUUUCUCUCUUAUUAGUAAGGCCCGCUUUGAAAAUGUUGUCAAGAAGUGGAUUCCAGAAUUGAGACACUAUGCACCUGGUGUUCCAAUUGUCCUUGUUGGAAGAAAGCUUGAUCUUCCAGAUGAUCAGCAGUUCUUUAUUGAUCAUCCCGGUGCAGUGCCUAUCACUACAGCUCAGAUAGCAGAACAAUAUCCUCAGAUUAAUGCUAACUUUGGCGUUCGCUUUUUCUUCCUCCCCUAAAACUUUUUCAAAUUUUGCUCUGGAUUUUCUUUUCACGAAAGGGAGAGGAACUGAAGAAACUGAUUAGUGCCCCAGCCUACAUCGAAUGUAGCGCCAAGACACAACAGCAAUAAAAGUUGUGCUUCAGCCACCAAAACAAAAGAAGAGGAAGAAGAAGUCUCAAAAGGCUUGCUCCAUACUUUGAUCAAGAAAAAUCUAGGUCUGCCGGAGAAGCGUAAAAGUGACAUGGCUUCCUAGCCAUACUGCAGUCUUCUCCCAUAGUACCUUUUCCUGUUCCCCCACAGUAAGGAAGCUGCAAGCCGUGGUGUAUAAUCUGACUGACGAUCUAGGGAUUUCUGAGGAAGCAUCAGAUGGUUUAUUUGUCAAUUUUUACUUGUGAGGCUUGAUAUGUAUUUGGUGGCUAAGCAUUCCCUUGUUGAUACUUGCCAGAUUUUAUGGAUCAGUUGUGAGGAAGAUCCCAAUUAUGAAACAAAGUUUAUCAUUCCCUUGACAAAUACCAUUAGUCUGUUUCCUUGAUUCCUGUAUAUGCACUGUAUAUUGGGUUGAUUCAUAAUCGACUUCUUUGUUUUAAUCAAUUCAAUUCUUCCGUUAUCAUUGAA